CCUUCACUGAUGAGUAAACUUGUGACUUUCGUUCUUCUGAGACUGCUGAAGCAAUUUUUGAUUCUGAGAAGG